UAAAAUAUGAAAACAAAUGAGGAGUUGACACGGGGAGAACCAUAUAAGAGAGAGAGUAUUCAAAUGUCUUUGGGUAGACCCUCUGUAACUAAAAAUGACUACUGUUCUCUUUUUAUAAUAUUUUCUAAAACUAAAGACCCUCAUUUUUACGUGAAAUGCAGAUGGUCUUAAAAUGUAUGUAUAUCUUUAUAACUCAAUUAAUUAGUUAAAUCUAGGAUUGCGUUUUACGUAAAUGAUGAUAUA
rnacentral:sRNA from 1 species